CCUGAGAAACCCAAAAGAUCGAAUGGGGAGAUUCAUCGCCAGCGGCGUAGGCUUCCGUGCGGUUCGCGAUGGCCGGGACCUCGGUUCCGCGUCACGCGUCCGCUGCGGUAUGUCCGGCGACGUCGGCGUGCACUUCUCCCCUAGUAGGACGUCGCGACCCGUUGGGUGUCGGACCGAUGGCCGUUUGGUCGACUGUCUCGUCGCGUUUACGCGCGCACGUGGCAGACCGAAACGGUCGAGCGUCCGGCUGCCCGGCGGUAUAGAACGCUAUUGAACGGUAAUGAGCCGCAUUAAGUGCGUUCAGGCUCGUCGGCAGGCUCGUCUCGCCCGGAUUUACGGACCUAGCGCCGUUGCCGGGUGCUUGGCGUGGCCGUUAGUCGACGGUGUCCUCGGACUGGCUCUGAAAUUCGAAAGGAUUACCGGUCGGCGACGCUACUGCUUUGGGUACUUUC
rnacentral:rRNA from 1 species